AUGCCAAGGACAAUGGGCAUCCUUCUCUCCAGGAUGAGAUGUGACCCCAGCCAUAAGCAAGGAAACCAUGAGUCUUCAAUGCAAUUAGCCCUCUCUUUGCCUAGAAGUGUUCCUGGAUGGAUGUGGAAGAGACAUGUGAUGGGGAAGUGGCUUUGCAGAGAUGAAGCUAGACCUACAUUCAGGGUUGUCCUGGAUAUCUGUGCAAAUCUUCCUGAAGACCAGGAUGGGGACUGCAAGGACAAAAGACAUAAGUUGACAAAAAGAAAAGAAUCAAGAAAAAUCUAUUGAUGACCAUGGGAAGUCAUGGACACUACUGCUGGAAGUGUGACUCAGGUAUCAUUGCAUGGCAAAAUACAUGUAAAAUCAUGUUAAUUGUUUGCUAUAUGUAAAACACACUAGCAUUCAGUAGAGGGAGCACUCUUUAUCAUAAUGAAGGUCUCUAAGACUAUUUGCUGCAGCCACAAGGAGAUGAUCUAUUGGACAAAAACGCACACAGAACAUUUCAAGGAUGACAUGACUAUGCUGGAAAAGAAGGGGGAGCUCUAAGAGUGUCUACUUCAGAGUGUAGUAUUCAUAACUAACAAAGUCAAGACUCAAUGAUCUGAUCCCUCAAAAGGUUGUCAGUACAAUAGGUCAAUAUAUGCCCUUUGACUUGCAACAGAAGAUUCAUAUAGAUUCAUUUUAAAGGUCUAAUGUAUUUAUAACUUUUUUUCUUCAUGUAUGAUGCUUCAUCUGUGUCCAACUCAGAAAAAAUCUGUGAUAGCGAGAGACAUGGGUGAUAUGUAGUCACAUAAUAAAUGGAUCUUGAACACUGCUUGAGGGCAAGUUCAAGAAACUCUGCAUGUGGCGCCUGGUUUCUAAUAGUCAAAAUGUCUGCUGCAGUCUCUUGGGUUUUAAA